rnacentral:rRNA from 1 species
UGGGGGAUAUUGCACAAUGGGGGAAACCCGUGAUGCAGCGACGCCGCGUGAGUGAAGAAGUAUUUCGGUAUGUAAAGCUCUAUCAGCAGGGAAGAAAAAGACGGUACCUGACUAAGAAGCCCCGGCUAACUACGUGCC